UACGAAGGGGGCUAGCGUUGCUCGGAAUCACUGGGCGUAAAGCGCACGUAGGCGGGCUUUUAAGUCGGAGGUGAAAUCCCAGGGCUCAACCCUGGAACUGCCUUCGAUACUGAAAGUCUUGAGUCCGGAAGAGGUGAGUGGAACUCCGAGUGUAGAGGUGAAAUUCGUAGAUAUUCGGAAGAACACCAGUGGCGAAGGCGGCUCACUGGUCCGGUACUGACGCUGAGGUGCGAAAGCGUGGGGAG
rnacentral:rRNA from 1 species